GCUCCAUUGUGACGUCACAGCCCCAUUGUGACUCACAGAGCCCCAUUGUGACGUCACAGAGUUGCCAUGAUGGAAUCACAGUGCCCCAUUCUGACGUCACAGACUCCAGUGACGUCACCCCAUUGUGACGUCACAGAGCCGCAUUGUGACGUCACAGAGCCCAUUGUGAAGUCACAGAGCCAUUGUGACGUCGCGGAGCCCCAUGAUGGA
rnacentral:lncRNA from 7 species